rnacentral:rRNA from 1 species
GACGAACGCUGGCGGCGUGCCUAACACAUGCAAGUCGAACGAAGUGGCGAACGGGUGAGUAACGUGUAAUCAACCUGCCCUUCAGAGGGGAACAACAGUUGGAAACGACUGCUAAUCCCGCAUACUGAAGGAGGGGAUUGCGUCUGAUUAGCUAGUUGGGGGGGGAACGGCCCACCAAGGCGAUGAUCAGUAGGCGGUCUGAGAGGAUGAACGGCCACAUUGGGACUGGGACACGGCCCAGACUCCUACGGGAGGGAGCAGUGGGGAAUCUUCCGCAAUGGACGAAAGUCUGACGAAGCAACGCCGCGUGAGUGAUGACGGGCUUCGGGUUGGAAAGCUCUGUUAAUCGGGACGCGGUACCGGAAUAGAAAGCCACGGCUAACUACGUGCCAGCAGCCGCGGUAAUAC